rnacentral:rRNA from 1 species
UACGUAGGGCGCAAGCGUUGUCCGGAAUUAUUGGGCGUAAAGAGCUCGUAGGCGGUUUGUCGCGUCUGCUGUGAAAUCCCGAGGCUCAACCUCGGGCUUGCAGUGGGUACGGGCAGACUAGAGUGCGGUAGGGGAGACUGGAAUUCCUGGUGUAGCGGUGGAAUGCGCAGAUAUCAGGAAGAACACCGGUGGCGAAGGCGGCUCUCUGGGCCUUACCUGACGCUGAGGAGCGAAAGCGUGGGUAGCGAACAGG